UACGGGGGGAGCAAGCGUUGUUCGGAUUUACUGGGCGUAAAGGGUGCGCAGGCGGCCAAGUGUGUGAGGCGUGAAAGCCUGGGGCUUAACUCCAGAAUUGCACCUCAAACUACAUGGCUAGAGCAUUGGAGAGGGUAGCAGAAUUCACGGUGUAGCAGUGAAAUGCGUAGAUAUCGUGAGGAAUACCAGAGGCGAAGGCGGCUACCUGGACAAUUGCUGACGCUCAGGCACGAAAGCGUGGGGAGCAAAAGGG
rnacentral:rRNA from 1 species